GAGUUUGAUCCUGGCUCAGAACGAACGCUGGCAGCGUGGAUUAGGCAUGCAAGUCGAACGUGAAGCCGUUGAUCAAUCUUUCGGGAAAGUGAUUCGGUGGAAAGUGGCGGAAGGGUGAGUAACGCGUGGGUAAGCUACCUCGAAGUUGGGGACAACCCGACGAAAGUCGAGCUAAUACCGAAUGUGGUCCUCUGAUGCAUAUCAGGGUGACUAAAGGUGGGGAUCCUUUGGGACCUGCCGCUUUGAGAGGUGCCCGCGUGCCAUCAGCUUGUUGGUAGGGUAACGGCCUACCAAGGCUUACGGCUAGCCGGCCUGAGAGGGUGACCGGCCACACUGGGACUGAGACACUGCCCAGACUCCUACGGGAGGCUGCAGUCGAGGAUCAUUCGCAAUGCGCGAAAGCGUGACGAUGCGACGCUGCGUGGAGGAUGACGGCCUUCGGGUUGUAAACUCCUGUCAUGAGGGAAAAGACGUCCCAUCCCUAAUAUGGGUGGGGCCCGAUGGUACCUCAAGAGGAAGCCACGGCUAACUCUGUGCCAGCAGCCGCGGUAAUACAGAGGUGGCGAGCGUUGUUCGGAUUUACUGGGCGUAAAGCGUGCGUAGGUGGUUUUGUGUGUCGGAUGUGAAAGCCCACGGCUCAACCGUGGAACUGCAUUCGAAACUGCAGAACUAGAGUGCAGGAAGGGAGAGCGGAAGAGGAAUCUUUCGAAGGUGGUAUACAGGUGCUGCAUGGCUGUCGUCAGUUCGUGCCGUGAGGUGUUGGGUUAAGUCCCGCAACGAACGCAACCCCUGUGGUUAGUUGCCACCGCCGGUGAUAAGCCGGCGAGCACUCUAGCCAGACUGCCCGUGUAAGCGGGAGGAAGGUGGGGACGACGUCAAGUCAGUAUGGCCCUUACGCCCUGGGCUGCACACGUGCUACAAUGGCCGGUACAAAAGGAAGCAAUAUCGCGAGGUGGAGCAAAUCCUGAAAGCCGGCCCCAGUUCGGAUUGGAGUCUGCAACUCGACUCCAUGAAGUCGGAUUCGCUAGUAACGGCGUAUCAGCUACGACGCCGUGAAUACGUUCCCGGGCCUUGUACACACCGCCCGUCACAUCAUGAAAGCCGUCUGCACCCGAAGUCGCUGAGCCAACCCGCAAGGGAGGCAGGUGCCGAAGGUGUGGGUGGUGAUUGGGAUGAAGUCGUAACAAGGUAGCCGUAGGGGAACCUGUGGCUGGAUCACCUCCUCUCU
rnacentral:rRNA from 1 species